rnacentral:lncRNA from 1 species
AGGAAUACAAGGGGAACCUGCUGCUGAAACCCAUCGUGGAAGUUGCAGGCCAGGAUAUCAGCCACUGGUUUGAUCCAAAGACCAGAGACGUGAGUUAUGCUGGAACCUGGGAUUGUGGGUAGAGGAAAUGGAGAGCGGGGAUGGGAAGGAAAGGCGGAGGCUAGCCAGAGCCUAAUGGCUGCUCUGACACCCUCGCCCCAAACCCUCCUUUAAAGAUCCGCAAGCACAUAGAUCCGCUGACCGGCUGCCUGAGGUACUGCACCCCGCGGGGCCGCUUUGUGCACGUUCCGCCUCAGCUGCCCUGUUCGGACUGGGCCAACGAUUUUGGGAAGCCCUGGUGGCAGGGGUCGUAUUAUGAGGUGGGGCGGCUGUCUGCCAAGACCCGGAGCAUCCGCAUCAUUAACACGCUCACGUCGCAGGAGCACACACUGGAGGUGGGGGUUCUGGAGUCCAUAUGGGAAAUCCUACACCGCUAUCUCCCCUAUAACUCACAUGCUGCCAGCUACACGUGGAAAUAUGAAGGGAAGAACCUGAACAUGGAUUUUACCCUGGAAGAGAAUGGGAUCCGGGAUGAGGAGGAAGAAUUUGACUAUCUCA